GGCUCGGCCUGCUCCCCGCGCCGCCCGCGCUCCGCGCCGAGCCCGAGGACGAGGACGAGGAGAGAGUGCCGCUGGCUGAGCUGUCGCUGAUGAACAAGUUGAUCCACACAUCCCUGGUGGAGUCCCAGCAGCACGUGGAGAUCCUGCAGCGAGACCCCAGCUCCCCACUCUUCUCUAUCAAGACCUUUGAGGAGCUGCCCCUGAAGAAGGAGCUCUUGCAGGGAGUUUAUAUGAUGGGCUUCAACAGACCAUCCAAAAUCCAGGAGCAGGCUCUGCCACUGAUGCUGGCAUACCCGCCCCAAAAUCUGAUUGCCCAGAGCCAGUCAGGGACAGGGAAAACAGCAGCUUUUGUCUUGGCCAUGUUGAGCAGAGCCAGUGCCAGCGAGAAAUACCCGCAGUGCCUGUGCCUGGCUCCCACCUACGAGCUGGCUCUGCAGAUCGGGCAGGUGGUGCGCGCCAUUGGGAAGUUCUGCACUGACAUCAAGGUGAACUACGCUGUCCGGGGAAACCGAGUUCUGAAGGGCACAGUGCUGGAGGAGCAGAUCAUCAUCGGAACACCAGGCACCACACUGGACUGGUGCUUCAAACAGCGCAUCCUGGACCUGACCAAGAUCUCCUUGUUCGUGCUGGAUGAGGCCGACAUCAUGAUCGACACGCAGGGCCUGUCCUGUCAGAGCAUCCGCAUCCACAGGGCUCUUCCCAAGAGCUGCCAAGUGCUGCUGUUCUCAGCCACUUACAAGGAGCCCGUGCGGGCCUUUGCGGAGCGCAUCAUCCCCGACCCCAUCGUGAUCAAGCUGCGUGAGGAGGAGCUCACCCUGGGCAACAUCAGGCAGUACUUCAUGGUGUGCCAGAGCUCGGACGAGCAGUACAGGGCCCUCUGCAACCUCUAUGGCAGCUUCACCAUCGGUCAGGUCAUGAUCUUCUGCCAGACCCGGAGGCUGGCAGACUGGCUGUCGGGGAAGAUGAGCCGGGACGGGCACCAAGUGGCCAUCCUGACAGCAGAGCUGACAGUGGUGCAGCGGGCCAGCGUCAUCCAGCGCUUCCGUGAGGGCAAGGAGAAGGUCCUCAUCGCCACCAACGUCUGUGCCAGAGGCAUCGAUGUGCAGCAGGUCACCACGGUGGUGAACUUCGGCCUCCCCAUGGAUCAGGACGGCGAGCCGGAUUUUGAGACCUACCUGCACCGCAUCGGGCGGGCGGGGCGCUUCGGGCACCGCGGCAUCGCCUUCAGCGUGGUGCAGAGAGAGACCGUGCAGCUCGUGCACAAGAUAGAGGAGUAUUUCCCCUCAGAGCCACUCAGCCCUCUUGGUUCCUUCAAAUGUUCACCUGUCCUUGGAACCUGGAGUGAGCCUGAGGCAGACACCAGGCAGAGAAGACACGAGCCACUCAUUCUGGCAGAGACUGUUGCCGUGGAGUAGAAGUAGUGAGCAGCUGGAACAACUGGCAUGUGGAUGAGCCCGACCACAGCCAUGGGCAGAAGGAGCCAGUAGACCACGAUCAAGCAGCUGGAUCCCUACGACAUGGACGCGCUGGAGAAGCUUGCAGCGGAGUGAGGAGCAGGGAUUCGUUCUCCCAAAUCCAAGUUGCAGUUCUAAACAGGAGGAAAAGUUACAGGGGAAGACUUCCCGGUUCUCUUGUAUCCUGAAGCUGUUGAGUUUUGUUGUGUUGCCUGAGGAGAGGCUGGAGCGAGCCUCGUCUCGCUAGGUGGCAGCAGGAAUCCACUGCUGCCAUCCCAGAUCCCGGGGAAAAACCGAAGUGUUCAGGGUCCCGACAGUGCAGGAGAGAAGUUGGAGCCCUGGGGGUUCAAAAAUCCAGGUGUUCAGGAUUCCAUCGGUGAGGGAGAGAGGCUGGACCCCAGGGGUCUGAAACCCAAAUGUUCGGGGUCCCUGCAGUGUGAGGACAGAAGUUGUACCGCAGGGACUGGGCUGUGUUUGUGCCUUUGUUAAUCUUCAAUAAAUGAAAUUGAUUGUAA